rnacentral:rRNA from 1 species
GACGAACGCUGGCGGCGUGCUUAACACAUGCAAGUCGAACGGAAAGGCCCUGCUUUUGUGGGGUGCUCGAGUGGCGAACGGGUGAGUAACACGUGAGUAACCUGCCCUUGACUUUGGGAUAACUUCAGGAAACUGGGGCUAAUAACGGAUAGGAGCUCCUGCUGCAUGGUGGGGGUUGGAAAGUUUCGGCGGUUGGGGAUGGACUCGCGGCUUAUCAGCUUGUUGGUGGGGUAGUGGCUUACCAAGGCUUUGACGGGUAGCCGGCCUGAGAGGGUGACCGGCCACAUUGGGACUGAGAUACGGCCCAGACUCCUACGGGAGGCAGCAGUGGGGAAUAUUGCACAAUGGGCGGAAGCCUGAUGCAGCAACGCCGCGUGCGGGAUGACGGCCUUCGGGUUGUAAACCGCUUUCGCCUGUGACGAAGCGUGAGUGACGGUAAUGUGUAAAGAAGCACCGGCUAACUACGUG